rnacentral:rRNA from 1 species
UUUGGCAUAUCAAUAAGCGGAGGAAAAGAAACUAACAAGGAUUCCCCUAGUAACGGCGAGUGAAGCGGGAAGAGCUCAAAUUUGAAAGCUGGCACCUUCGGUGUCCGCGUUGUAAUCUCGAGAAGUGUUUUCCGUGCUGGACCAUGUACAAGUUCCUUGGAAUAGGACGUCAUAGAGGGUGAAAAUCCCGUACUUGACAUGGACGCCCAGUGCUUUGUGAUACACUCUCCACGAGUCGAGUUGUUUGGGAAUGCAGCUCAAAAUGGGUGGUAAAUUCCAUCUAAAGCUAAAUAUUGGGGAGAGACCGAUAGCGAACAAGUACCGUGAGGGAAAGAUGAAAAGCACUUUGGAAAGAGAGUUAAACAGUACGUGAAAUUGUCGAAAGGGAAGCGCUUGAAGUUAGACAUGCUUGCCGGGAUUCAGCCUUGCUUUUGCUUGGUGCAUUUCCCGGUGUGCAGGCCAGCAUCAGUUUUGUUUGCCGGAUAAGGGUGAGAGGAAUGUGGCCCCUCGGGGUGUUAUAGCCUCUCACUGGAUACGGCGGAUGGGACUGAGGACCGCAGUGUGCCUUUAUGGCGGGCCUUCGGGCACCUUCACACUUAUGAUGCUGGCGUAAUGGCUUUAAUCGACCCGUCUUGAAACACGGAGCAAAAAA